rnacentral:misc_RNA from 1 species
AAGUCGUAACAAGGUUUCCGUAGGUGAACCUGCGGAAGGAUCAUUAACAAUAAGAGGCCCCUGGCCUUUUUUUUUCACCUGGGCUGUGCGCCUUCGCGGGCUUGCACGUCCAACACGUGAUUCUCACACCUGUGCACCUUUCGGAUUGUGGCAACACGUCCGCCUUUUUUUAACAAACGUCAGUCAAUGAAUGUUCAAUUAUUUAUAAAAUAAAUACAACUUUCAACAACGGAUCUCUUGGCUCUC